GUAGAACUUAAAUGCUUGAAUGUACUGAACUUCAGAUUAAAUCUUCCCUAAACUUGUUUCUGUCAUAGAGGCAAACUUAAACUAGAAGUCUGUGAGUAUGGUGCUUUAAAGGAACUGUUAUGUCUCAGCCUAAACUGAUGAUUGAGCACCUGGUGAAGGGGGUGGCUGGCCCAGGAAGCACAAGUGCAAGCAAUUCUCCUGUGCUUCCCAUGUGACAGGAAGGUGGACCCUGGGCCCACCCCUCCCUGGGCUCAUUUAAUGGCUAGCCUCUAAGUAAGAAGGUUUCCUGGAUGAAGGCUGCUUCCUGAGAAGGAGUGUUCUAUAGCUUGAGGCCCUGUCACCAGCUGGGGGAACUGCUAUGUCCUGGCCUGAACUGAUGAUUGAGCACCUGGUGAAGGGAGUGGCUGGCCCAGGAAGCAGAGGUGCAAGCCCAUCCCUGGGCUCAUUUAAUUGCUAGCCUCUGAAAGGAGAAUGUUUCCUGGAUGAAGGCCACUUCCUGACAAGGAGUGUUCUACAACAAGAGACCCUAUCACCAGUUGGAAUCGCAGGAGUUGGAAGUGACUUCAAGACACCAUCGAGUCCAACUUCUCUGCUAAAGCAGGUACCCUACAAUAGGUCACACAGGGCAUUCACUGCAAAAAUAUCUGAAUUUGCCCCCCCUGAUUCAACUUCCACCUAGGAGCACUGGAAACAAGAUUGUUAGACCUCUCAUAAAAUGGAAAUGCUCCUGUCUUUCUGUUGAAAUUGGCACUGAAUAUAUUGCACUGAAACAAACAAACAAAAACCCUGGACCCAAAAGAAACAGGAAGUAAAACAGUAUUAGAGGAAAAUGAGAAAAGCUCAUUUCUAAGAAACAAUGUUGUAUGUAAUGUCUGAAAUUGUAUUUGGGGGGAGGGUGGGAAGUAUCUUUAUUUUUAAAAAUCAACUUCUGGAUAGCACUGGAACCAAAACCAGAUCUUGAGCAUUAUUGGGAGAGGAAGGGGAG